CACGUAGGGUGCGAGCGUUGUCCGGAAUUACUGGGCGUAAAGGGCUCGUAGGUGGCCAACUAAGUCAGACGUGAAAUCCCUCGGCUUAACCGGGGAACUGCGUCUGAUACUGGAUGGCUUGAGUUUGGGAGAGGGAUGCGGAAUUCCAGGUGUAGCGGUGAAAUGCGUAGAUAUCUGGAGGAACACCGGUGGCGAAGGCGGCAUCCUGGACCAACACUGACACUGAGGAGCGAAAGCCAGGGGAGCAAACGGG
rnacentral:rRNA from 1 species